rnacentral:rRNA from 1 species
AUUGAACGCUGGCGGCGUGCCUAAUACAUGCAAGUCGACCUUAGUGGCGUAAGGGUGAUUAAAACGUGGGUAACCUGCCCAUCAGAAGGGGAUAACACUUGGAAACAGGUGCUAAUACCGUAUAGUGAUGGAUGGAACCGCGGUGCAUUAGCUAGUUGGUUAGGUAACGGCGCACCAAGGCCACGAUGCAUAGCCACCCUUGGAGGGUGAUCGGCAACAGUGGGACGGAGACACGGCCCAAACGCCUACGGGAGGCAGCAGUAGGGAAUCUUCGGCAAUGGACGAAAGUCUGACCGAGCAACGCCGCGUGAUUGAAGAAGGUUUUCGGAUCGUAAAACGCUGUUGUUAGAGAAGCGGUAUCUAACCAGAAAGCCACGGCUAACUACGUGCCAGCAGCCGCGGUAAUAC